GUUAGUAUUUUAUUUGAUUACAUUGCUUUUGUUUUACUUUAAACUAGGUAUUUUGCCCGCACAUCAUCUUACGAAUACUUAUAAUUUUAUGUUUUAUUAAUCCACCAAUCGGCAUAAUAAAACUCUAAUUGGUGAACAUGUUGAAGAAAAAAAACUUAUGGUGAAUUAUUUGUUCCUCAAAAUUUAUACAUGUUAUGUUGAAAUUUUAGUCAAAUUAUUGAAAGGUAGAUUCCACUUUUUUUUUAAAUUUUCCAUGGAGGAAUGAAUUUUUUCCUAUGCAAUUUUGAUAAGGGACAAAUUGAACAAACAUUCUUAUUUUUAUUUUAUUUUUUCAAUUCCUCAAAUGAAUUUUUUUUUAUUUUGUUUAUUUUUCUCAUUCUUCUAGUGGUCACCAACUCAACUCAGCCACAAUUAUUAUUUAUUAUUUUAAAUAGUUAAAUCAAACAUCAAAUUAUUUAUAUAUGUCGAUAAAACGUUCAUCAAACUAUGUACUUAUUAUUGUGUUAAAAGUUCUUUAAUAAACUCAUAUAUUAGAAAUAGUUUAGAAAAUAUCUUUAUAUAAAUAUUUUUGUUUGACUAAUAUUUAAUUAUAAAUUGUUUUAUAUCUUAAUUUUUUAACUUUAUAAUAAAAAAUAUUGUUUUCAGAUAGCAACACAAUAUAUAUAUAUAUAUAUAAUAAUUCUCUUAAUUUUAAAAUAUAUUUUCACCAUUUUUAUAUUAGUUUAUAAUUAAUUAUUUAAUAUAACAUAUAAAUUUAAUAUUAUUAAAAUAGAAUUUGUGUUUUA
rnacentral:lncRNA from 1 species